AAACUCAGUUCCAAAAGGGCCGCAGCCCUGCACAGUCCAGUCCCAACCCUAACUAAACACACCUGAUCAAACUAAUUGAGUCCUUCCGGCUUGUUUGAAACCUACAGGUAAGUGUGUUGGAGCAGGGCUGCAACCAAACUGUGCAGGGCCUCGGCCCUCCAGGAACCGAGCCCGACACCUCUGUCCUAAGUCAACAAGAGAGAAG
rnacentral:misc_RNA from 1 species